GUGGGGAAUAUUGGACAAUGGGCGCAAGCCUGAUCCAGCAAUUCCGCGUGAGCGAAGAAGGCCUUCGGGUUGUAAAGCUCUUUCGGCGGGGACGAUAAUGACGGUACCCGCAGAAGAAGCCCCGGCUAACUCCGUGCCAGCAGCCGCGGUAAUACGGAGGGGGCUAGCGUUGUUCGGAAUCACUGGGCGUAAAGCGCACGUAGGCGGCUACUCCAGUCAGAGGUGAAAGCCCGGGGCUCAACUCCGGAAUUGCCUUUGAAACUAGGUAGCUUGAACGUCGGAGAGGUAAGUGGAAUUCCGAGUGUAGAGGUGAAAUUCGUAGAUAUUCGGAAGAACACCAGUGGCGAAGGCGACUUACUGGACGACUGUUGACGCUGAGGUGCGAAAGCGUGGGGAGCAAACAGGAUUAGAUACCCGAGUAGUCC
rnacentral:rRNA from 1 species